UACGAAGGGGGCUAGCGUUGCUCGGAAUCAGCUGGGCGUAAAGGGUGCGUAGGCGGGUCUUUAAGUCAGGGGUGAAACUCCUGGAGCUCAACUCCAGAACUGCCUUUGAUACUGGCGAUCUUGAGUCCGGAAGAGGUGAGUGGAACUCCUAGUGUAGAGGUGAAAUUCGUAGAUAUUAGGAAGAACACCAGUGGCGAAGGCGGCUCACUGGCCCGGUACUGACGCUCAUGUGCGAAAGCGUGGGGAGCAACAGG
rnacentral:rRNA from 1 species